rnacentral:snoRNA from 2 species
UGGUGAUGAUGAUAAAACUUAGGCUUGUUUCUCAAAACAUUCGCAGUUGGUGCCUAAGAGCUUUCGCCCUGCCAGGCUUGAGAGCUAAUGCUGCUAAUUCCUUCCUUGGAUGUCUGAGCCA